rnacentral:misc_RNA from 1 species
GAAAUGCGAUACGUAGUGUGAAUUGCAGAAUUCCGUGAACCAUCGAAUCUUUGAACGCAUAUUGCGCUCGAGCCCUCGGGCAAGAGCAUGUCUGCCUCAGCGUCGGUUUACACCCUCACCCCUCCCAACUUGUUGGGUGUACUUGCUUUAUAGGCAAGCCGCAGGGGUGGAUCUGGCUUCCCCAAUCAGCCAUAAGGCAGAUUGGGUUGGCUGAAGUGCAGAGGCUUAAGCAAGGACCCGAUAUGGGCUUCAACUGGAUAGGUAGCACCGGCUUCUGCCGACUACACGAAGUUGUUGCUUGUGGACUUUGCUCGAAGCCAAGCAGGAACGUGCCUUUGGCAUGUUUAAACUUUCGACCUGAGCUCAGGCAAGAUUACCCGCUGAACUUAA